UUUGGAUUCGACUUAAUCGAGGGUUGUGCAACACGAAAAUAUUGUGAGGAUGUUCGUGCGAUUUUUAUACUUCCUGGAUAUGAAAUCGUUUUACGAACUGGCAAGGAUGUUGUCGAUGUUGUCGUAUGAUGUUGAGUUUCUGGAAGAAAAAGAGUACAAAAAGAAAUAAUAAAUAAAAUACUGCGGGUUAUUUUUAUUCAGUUUAAAUUCUGUGGCAACUAAAUAUCCAGCAACACUGAAGAAAAACUAAAAUAAAUGCAAUAAUUAAAAGAAAGUUAAUGGUCACUUUUCUUUGAAAAAGGGGGAUCAAUUUGCAAAGUAAUCCAACUUCCAGUUGCAUAGAUGCUUUUUUAGCUGUAAGGACCAGCCGCAGAUAUCGCUCGAGGGAAAGCCAGACAUUAUAGAGAGAUUUAUUUCCUCAGCCGGAUCCAAUUUAAACCACCUCGCCCACUACCAGGAAAAACUAACUUGUGUAAAUUACUGUCGAUGAAGGGAUUUCUGGACCAACUUCCACUGCGAGAGUGUCAUAUGUAAUAUUAAAGGCGUUGUAAAUAUCUCCCAGAAUUUGGACAGAAUAUCG